rnacentral:tRNA from 2 species
AACUAUGUAGUAUAAAUAAGUACCCUAACCUUCAAAGUUAGAAGAAGCUUGCGAGGUUCAUAGUUG